rnacentral:rRNA from 1 species
AUGUCAAAUGUGACCAUAGAGCAAACUGAGGAUGUGUCACCGCCAUCACCACCGGUUUAUGAUUUUAGUCGUCUUAAACAUGAUCCCGGGGACAGGCUACCCAUUGCAAGUUAUCCUAUCAAUGAUCAAGACGCAGUUCGAAGAGCAUAUAUCCUUAAAAAGCCAUUCAAACCUUAUGCACAUGACUUUAAGAAAAGAACAAUUGGGAGUAGAGAACGUUCGUUCAAUCCUUUGUGGCUCCAUAAUAAUAGUUGGCUUGAAUAUAGUAUCAAGAAGGAAUCUGCAUUUUGCUUUGUAUGUUACUUGUUCAAAGAGAAAAAAACUAGUGGUAAGGGAACUAAUGCAUUUACUGAUGGUGGUUGGAGUAAUUGGAAUAGAGAGGAUGCUCUUCUUAAGCAUGUUGGUUGCGUAUCAAGUGUGCAUAAUGCAGCUCAAGAGAGAUAUAACUUAUUUGUAAAUCCUCGUGCAGCUAUUGAUGAUCUUUUUGUGAAGGUGAACAGUGAGGAUCUGCGUCUUUACAAGAUGAGGUUGAAGUAUUCACUUAGAUGGUUGCAGUUUCUUCUUCAUCAAGGAUUGGCAUUUCGUGGGCAUGAUGAAAGUGAACAAUCUAGCAAUAGAGGAAACUUCCUUGAGCUAUUGAAGUGGCUUGCAGCAAAUAGUGAGGAGGCGAAUAAGUAUGUUUUGAAGAAUGCACCAGGUAACUGCCAAUUGACAUCUCAUCAGAUACAACAUCAGAUUAUUCAAUGUUGUGCACAACUUACUAGAAAGCAAAUUAUUGAUGAACUUGGUGAUGAGCACUAUGCUAUUCUAGCUGAUGAGUCUAGUGAUGUAUCACAUAAAGAACAACUAGCUUUAUGCUUGCGUUUUGUUGAUAAAGUAGGGAGGCCGUCUGAGCACUUUCUUGGAGUUGUUCAUGUAAGUGACACUACUUCAUUGUCACUUAAGGAAGCAAUUGAAACUUUACUUACUGAUCAUGGUUUGACUAUAACACAAAUUCGUGGGCAAGGAUAUGAUGGGGCUAGUAAUAUGAGAGGAUAAAUUAAAGGAUUGAAAACAUUGAUCAUGAAAGAGUCACCUUCUGCCUAUUAUAUUCAUUGUUUUGCACAUCAACUCCAGCUAGUUCUUGUUGCUGUUGCCAAGGGAAAUGAUGAUUGUGUGUGGUUUUUUGAUCGAGUGUCUUUAUUACUGAAUGUUAUUGGAGUGUCUUGUAAGCGUCAUGACAUGCUUCGAGAUGCUAGACUUCAGAAUAUCCUGAAACUACUUGAAUGUGGUGAGUUACAAACCGGGAGUGGUUUGAAUCAAGAGAUGGGGUUACCUAGGCCUGGUGAUACUCGGUGGGGCUCUCAUUACAAAACUGUUCUUAACAUUAUUGCUAUGUAUCCCACAAUCUGUGAUGUGCUCAUAACUCUUGGACAAGAUGCUUCACAAAGAAGUGAUUAGCCCAAAAUUCAUACUAUUGUUGGAGUGUUCGAGUCAUUUGACUUUAUUUUCAAUGCACACUUGAUGCUUGUCAUUCUUGGAUACACAAGUGAUUUGUCUGAUUGUUUGCAAAGAAGAGACCAAGAUAUUCUUACUGCAAUGGCACUUGUUAGAACUGCAAAAAGUAGAAUACAAGAGCUUAGGGAUAAUGGAUGGGAUGCAUUUCUGCAAAAGGUCACACUAUUUUGUAACAAGCAUGGCAUUCAAGUUCCUAUAAUGGAAGAUAAUUAUGUGCCUUAAGGAAGAUCAACAUGGUUUGCUCGACCCCAAAUAAAUGAUGAUCACUUUAGAAGAGAAGUUUUUCUUGGAGUCAUUGAUCAAAUUAGUCAAGAGCUUGAAAAUCGGUUUGAUGAGAUCAAUAUGGAGCUGCUAUCUUGUAUGUCUGCUUUGAAUCCCGCCAACUCAUUUGCUGCUUUUGAUGCACAAAAGGUACAAAGACUUGCUGAUUUUUAUCCCAAAGACUUUUCAAGUGCCGACUUGAUACACCUUGAACUACAACUUGAUAACUAUAUUGAUGACAUGAGAAAUGAUGAGAACUUCCAAGGCCUUGGAAAUCUUGUUGAUCUCUCUGUUAAGCUUGUCCAAACAGGGAGACAUAUAGUUCAUCAUUUGGUGUACUUGCUUUUAAAAUUGGUAUUGAUUCUCCCGGUUGCAACGGCAAAUGUUGAGAGAGCAUUUUCUGCCAUGAGUUUUGUCAAGAACAAGUUGAGAAAUAAGAUGGGUGAUAGUCUUUUGGAUGAUUGCCUAGUCACAUACAUUGAGAGGGAUGCUUUCUCCGAGGUGAAUGAAGAUGACAUAAUUGACACCUUCAUGGCAAUGCAAAAACGUAGGCCAGAAAGAUAG